rnacentral:tRNA from 1 species
GUCUCAUGAGGUUGUUGGUAAAGCAUGACACUUGCAACGCCAGGGUUGUGGGUUCAAUUCCCACAGGGGACC